UACGUAGGGGGCUAGCGUUGUCCGGAAUCAUUGGGCGUAAAGCGCGUGUAGGCGGUCCGGUAGGUCUGGUGUGAAAACUCGAGGCUUAACCUCGAGAUGUCAUCGGAAACCAUCUGGCUAGAGUCCGGAAGAGGAGAGUGGAAUUCCUGGUGUAGCGGUGAAAUGCGCAGAUAUCAGGAAGAACACCAAUGGCGAAAGCAGCUCUCUGGGACGGUACUGACGCUGAGGCGCGAAAGCGUGGGGAGCGAACAGG
rnacentral:rRNA from 1 species